rnacentral:lncRNA from 1 species
UUUGCAAUUAUAAAUAGUUGUCAUGUGCCAAUGUUCAUGCUGGUCAAAUGUUCAAGUACUUCAUUCGUUUUCAUUAUAAAACUUAAAUGCUGUAACACCCCCAUCUUAAAUCAAGACGAGGAGUUACCUACAAAUCCAAAACCUGCCAACAGAGCACUAAUAUCCAACAAACAUGGGUAAAUAGAAUCACUAAAUAAUAAAAUCUUAAUAACACUAAUGGUCCACAAAUCUUAAUCACUGGUAACUGAGGGUAGCUCUCCAUCACACAGUCCCGAAUCCCCCUAAGUACCUGCCAGAAGAAGAAUACGGCAUGAGCCAAAUGCCCAGUACGGAUUGGAAACAUUUACAAAACAAGAAACAUUUAAAAUAUUUUGACAGUAAUAUAAAUCAGUUAUUUUAAAAUAACAGGCUGAAGCAACAAGGGGUUAGGAUAUUUCAUACCGAGAUCAAAUCAGAACAUAUACAGAUACACACAUCAUAGGGUACCUAAUGUGUGCAACAAAUCGGAUAACGUGUACGGCAUAUACAACGUCACCGUCAAAUCACAAAUCAUAUCAAAACUGAACUGGGUGCACCCACGUAUCCUGAACAUAUAAUCAAAAUGGCCAAAGCUCCUCCCAAGAGCUAACAGAAGUAUACGCCGUGACCAAUCACACUGUCACGGAAGUGUCAUGUCAAUGGUGCCGCAAAGACAUGGCUGUAGUACCCCAACAGCUGGGAAACUCGGUAUACCCUAUAUCUCUCUAAGGGUUCAAAACAAAACAGUUUUCACAACUUAAAUCACAUGGUACAGAUAUUUCAAAUAAACUGAACAAAUCACAAUUUUGUAAAAUCCUUGAAAACCGCAUAACAAAUAUUUUAAUCUUUCAAAACAUAUUUUUAAAAUAUUUUUCGGAAAUCAGAACAGUCAAAUGAGUAGCACAGAACAAACUUAGCAAAUCGGACGGAUCAAAAAAAAGGCCAGAUCAAAAUAUUUAAUAUCGAAAGGAGUAGCGCUGAAUAAAAAGAGUAGAAUCCGUACAAACACACCGAACAGAAAGGAUUAAAACAGAGUAAUCAAAUUUACCGAACACUAAUAGAAUUAGAGCGGAAUAAAAGAGAACGAAAUCCGUACCUCGAAAAUAGCAAACUCAAAGACUAACGAACCUCGCAAAGGACCAACUAAACUCCCGAACCAAGCUUUCGAGAACCUCGCUCUGAUACCACUUUUGUAACACCCCCAUCUUAAAUCAAGACGAGGAGUUACCUACAAAUCCAAAACCUGCCAACAGAGCACUAAUAUCCAACAAACAUGGGUAAAUAGAAUCACUAAAUAAUAAAAUCUUAAUAACACUAAUGGUCCACAAAUCUUAAUCACUGGUAACUGAGGGUAGCUCUCCAUCACACAGUCCCGAAUCCCCCUAAGUACCUGCCAGAAGAAGAAUACGGCAUGAGCCAAAUGCCCAGUACAGAUUGGAAGCAUUUACAAAACAAGAAACAUUUAAAAUAUUUUGACCAUCAUAUAAAACAUUUUAAAAUAACAGGCUGAAGCAACGAGGGUUAGGAUAUAUCAUACCGAGAUCAGAACAUAUACAGAUACACACAUCAUAGGGUACCUAAUGUGUGCAACAAAUCGGAUAACGUGUACGGCAUAUACAACGUCACCGUCAAAUCACAAAUCAUAUCAAAACUGAACUGGGUGCACCUACGUAUCCUGAACAAAUAAUCAAAAUGGCCAAAGCUCCUCCCAAGAGCUAACAGAAGGAUACGCCGUGACCAAUCACACUGUCACGGAAGUGUCAUGUCAAUGGUGCCGCAAAGACAUGGCUGUAGUACCCCCACAGCUG